GACGAACGCUGGCGGCGUGCUUAACACAUGCAAGUCGAACGGAAAGGCCCUGCUUUUGUGGGGUGCUCGAGUGGCGAACGGGUGAGUAACACGUGAGUAACCUGCCCUUGACUUUGGGAUAACUUCAGGAAACUGGGGCUAAUACCGGAUAGGAGCUCCUGCUGCAUGGUGGGGGUUGGAAAGUUUCGGCGGUUGGGGAUGGACUCGCGGCUUAUCAGCUUGUUGGUGGGGUAGUGGCUUACCAAGGCUUUGACGGGUAGCCGGCCUGAGAGGGUGACCGGCCUCAUUGGGACUGAGAUACGAACCAGACUCGUACAGGAGGCAGCAGUGGGGAAUCUUGCACGAUAGGCGGAAGCCUGAUGCAGCGACGCCGCGGGCGGGAUGACGGGCUACGGGUUGUAAACCGCUUUCGCCUGUGAUGAAGCUUGAGUGACGGUAACGGGUAAAGAAGCACCGGCUAACUACGUG
rnacentral:rRNA from 1 species